UACAGAGGUCUCAAGCGUUGUUCGGAUUCAUUGGGCGUAAAGGGUGCGUAGGUGGCGCCGUAAGUCAGGUGUGAAAUUUCGGAGCUUAACUCCGAAACUGCAUUUGAUACUGCGGUGCUUGAGGACUGGAGAGGAGACUGGAAUUUACGGUGUAGCAGUGAAAUGCGUAGAGAUCGUAAGGAAGACCAGUGGCGAAGGCGGGUCUCUGGACGGUUACUGACGCUAAGACGCGAAAGCGUGGGGAGCAAACAGG
rnacentral:rRNA from 1 species